GGUUUAUUUAAAUUUCUGCCCUAUCAACUUUUAAUAGUAAGGUAUUAGCUUACUAUAGUUUUAACGGGUAACAGGGAAUUAGGGUUUAAUUCUAGAGAGGGAGCCUGAGAAACGGUACCACAUCUAAGGAAGGCAGCAGGCGCGCAAAUUAUCUAAUCCUAACCAGGGAGGUAGUAACAAUAAAUACUAAUAUAGGGCUCUUUUAGGUCUUGUAAUUAGAAUAAGUAUAAUUUAAACCCCUUAACAAGGAACAAUUAGAGGGCAAGUCUAGUGCUAGCAGCCACAGUAAUUCUAGCUCUAAUAGCGUAUAUUAAAGUUGUUGCAGUUAAAAAGCUCGUAGUUA
rnacentral:rRNA from 1 species